rnacentral:rRNA from 1 species
UACGUAGGGGGCAAGCGUUGUCCGGAAUCAUUGGGCGUAAAGAGCGUGUAGGCGGCUUGGUAAGUCCGCUGUGAAAGUCCAGGGCUCAACCCUGGAAAGCCAGUGGAAACUGCCAAGCUAGAGUCCGGAAGAGGCGAGUGGAACUCCUGGUGUAGCGGUGAAAUGCGCAGAUAUCAGGAAGAACACCAAUGGCGAAGGCAGCUCGCUGGGACGGUACUGACGCUGAGACGCGAAAGCGUGGGGAGCAAACAGG